AUUGCGGCCCGGGCUACACACCCGGGGCCACGCCUGUCUGAGGGUCGCUCG
rnacentral:rRNA from 1 species